rnacentral:rRNA from 1 species
GUCUAUCGGAAGAUAUAAAUAGUCUAGCCUGCUCACUGACAUAAACGUUAAAUAGCCGCGGUAUCUUGACCGUGCAAAGGUAGCAUAAUCAUUAGUUUUUUAAUUGAAAACUUGUAUGAAGGGUUGGACAAAGAAAAGACUGUCUUUAAAAUUAAAGUUGAAUUUAACUUUUAAGUGAAAAGGCUUAAAUAUUUUAGAGGGACGAUAAGACCCUAUAAAGCUUUAUAAAUUUAAGGAUCUUAUACAUUUUAUUAAAUAGAAGUAAAUUCUGGAAAUUUUAUUUUGUUGGGGCGACAAGAGUAUAACUAAAAUAACUGCUAAUAAAUUAAAUACAGAUAUAGGUGAGUAAGGAAAAGCUAGUUGAUCCUUCGGUGAGGAUUAGAAGAUCAAGUUACUUUAGGGAUAACAGCGUUAUUUCCCUUGAGAGUUCUUAUCAAAAGGGAAGUUUGCGACCUCGAUGUUGAAUUAAAAUGUCUUUACGGUGCAGCAGCUGUAAGAGAAGGUCUGUUCGACCUUUAAUUUUUUACAUGAUUUGAGUUCAGACCG